rnacentral:rRNA from 1 species
AUUGAACGCUGGCGGCAUGCUUUACACAUGCAAGUCGAACGGUAACAGGGAGCUUGCUCCGCUGACGAGUGGCGAACGGGUGAGUAAUGCAUCGGAACGUACCCAGUCGUGGGGGGAUAACGUAGCGAAAGUUACGCUAAUACCGCAUACGUCCUGAGGGAGAAAGCGGGGGACCGUAAGGCCUCGCGCGAUUGGAGCGGCCGAUGUCGGAUUAGCUAGUUGGUAGGGUAAAGGCCUACCAAGGCGACGAUCCGUAGCGGGUCUGAGAGGAUGAUCCGCCACACUGGGACUGAGACACGGCCCAGACUCCUACGGGAGGCAGCAGUGGGGAAUUUUGGGACAAUGGGCGAAAGCCUGAUCCAGCCAUGCCGCGUGAGUGAAGAAGGCC